rnacentral:tRNA from 1 species
GGACUCUAAAUUUUAUAGAGGACUAUGACUGGAGAGUGUAUGUGCCAGUAAUGGCACCGUGGGUUCAAAUCCCACCCUCUCCG